rnacentral:misc_RNA from 1 species
AGGAUAGCAAGCAUGAGUGCACGACUAUCAACAGCUUAAUUAAUUAUUGUUUCUUUACACAAACAGCAUAGUAUGCACAUUUUACAUAUUAUAUUUUGCUGGAAAUUCUCGUGUGUACCUGAACGUGCAGAAACAACAAUGACUUGCAAUGCAUGCUUAAACACUAUAUAUAUACAGAUGAACUUAUUCAUUUUCUCUUGUUGUCUUGUUCUUGCUUCGGCAUCUAUCAACUACAACCCUGACUGUGAAAAUGCGAUUAGAAGUAUCGGUCUACCAAGAGUUUGGAGAAAAGAAGAUGAAAGCUUUCCGUUGAUAUACCUAAAUUCUAUAGUCACAGAGAUGAAAAUCCAAACAGAGGACAAGGAUUCAGAGACUAAUUAUAAUUUACUGAGUAUACCUCUGCUGUCCUGCUUACAUCAAGACUCACCACAGUUGGUUCAAAUUAUUAGAGAACAAUUUCUUCACAAAAAUGAGGAGAAUAAACCCUAUAAUCUUUCUGACACAGUUGAACAAGUUUUAAAUAACUUGUGGACUUUUGCUUCAGAAACAUUGAAGGAAGUUGUUAAAGUGAAACCAUUUUCAAGGAAACCAGUUUCAACUCCCAAUGAAGUUGAUGAUCUUGUUUUUGAUGGAAAAAAGAAAGGUGGAUUUUUCAUCGAAGCUGGAGCUAAUAAUUUCGAGUCGGAUUCAGAUUCUCUUCACUUCGAAUUAAACCAUGGUUGGACGGGUCUAUUGGUGGAACCACAUCCCUCUUAUUAUGAAAAAGGAAUGAGCAAGAAUAGAAGAGUGACAAGUGUAAACACCUGCCUCUCCCCAAUAGACCGAGUUGCCUCAAUUCCUUUCAACAUCAACUAUGCUGGAUUAGAUUUGAUGGGAAAUAAACUGGGAGACAACUCAAGUGAACCUAUUCUACAGUGUAUUCCAUUAUAUUCACUUCUACUCGCACUUGGGAAUCCUACUGUUAACUAUUUUAGAUAUAGAGGGAGGAGAGUUUCAGGUUCUAAAAACUAUACCUUGGGACUUGGUGGAUAUUCAAGUUUUAAGCAUAGAAACUCAUUUUGCAGGAGAACGUAGUAAGGGCUCAAGAGAGGAUAUAAUCUCGUACAUGAAGGAUGUUGGAUAUCAAUAUAUAUCCUGGGGCCACGAGAUUUACGGAUAUGUCAC